rnacentral:rRNA from 1 species
AAAGACCUUAUGCUUUUGGAGCGGCCGAUGUCUGAUUAGCUAGUUGGUAGGGUAAUGGCUUACCAAGGCGACGAUCAGUAGCUGGUCUGAGAGGACGACCAGCCACACUGGGACUGAGACACGGCCCAGACUCCUACGGGAGGCAGCAGUGGGGAAUUUUGGACAAUGGGCGCAAGCCUGAUCCAGCAAUGCCGCGUGAGUGAAGAAGGCCUUCGGGUUGUAAAGCUCUUUCAGUCGAGAAGAAAAAAUUGUGACUAAUACUCACAAUUCAUGACGGUAUCGACAGAAGAAGCACCGGCUAACUACGUGCCAGCAGCCGCGGUAAUACGUAGGGUGCAAGCGUUAAUCGGAAUUACUGGGCGUAAAGGGUGCGCAGGCGGUUCUGUAAGUCAGAUGUGAAAUCCCCGGGCUUAACCUGGGAAUU